UAAAAGACAUGAUACUGGACACAGCUUACAGACAUACAAAAUAUAUCCAACCCUUUUAAUGUGUAAAAUAUAUAUAUAUAGCCUAAUGAAUUAUGUAUAACAAUUAAGUUUUUGUCUCUAAGAUUGAAGAAAAUAUUCAAUACCAUACACAUAAAUAUACAAAAGUAACAUUUAAGCCAAUGUGGACUUAGCACAGCAACAAUAAGGAAAUGCAUAUACAGGAAAGAAACUAUUGGUUUCUUUGAUUAUGGAAAAAAGCCACUGCAUUAUCAUAUACUAUUAAUUGAAUGCUAAUUGAUGUAUCAUUUGCCAAAGUAUUUGAUAAUAAUUACUAUGCAUCUUAAUAUUAAGAUUUACACGGAAUUCCUGCCUUAGCCUUUGCCAACUUUUAUCAAACGCAACAUUCUGAACUAUUUUUCA
rnacentral:misc_RNA from 1 species